UUGAAUGCUGCCCUUCGUCUGCUACAGAGGCACAUAAUGGAAACUCCACAUUGUGAGUCUGUCCUUUUUACUUGGUCGACCGUGCUUCAGGUCCGUUUUACACAUCGCAGUCCACAGAUGAAUCCACAUGCAGCAGGUAAAAGCACAGAGAGAGAGAGAGAGAGAGAGAGAGACAGAGACACAGACAGAGAGAGAGUAGAGAGUAGUAGAGAGGGAGAUAUGAGGGUGUGGAUCCUUUGAAGAGACACCGUCAACACACACACACACACACACACACACACUCUCUGAAUAACACUAACAUGUGUUUCAGUUUACAAACGGCCAUAAAAAUGCUUCUUCAUCCUGCUGCUGAACCUCCUGCGCUGCUCGACCUCAUUAGGAGUUACUGCACACAAACACACUGAAUGCAUAAUAAUCUCAACACAGCAGAAAUGUCUUCCCCAAACGUUGCACAUGGAUGAAUUCAAAAGUUGAAUAUGUUCUGGUAUUUGAGUACUUAAAGUUACUUUAAGUUUGUGUUGAUUGUGGCGCUCCCUGUGGACAAAAGCCGUAUUGUUUCCCAGCUCCAGAGUCCCUUUAGAAAACCUCUCAUUUUACUGCAGCAGGGUCUGACAGUCUCCAACGACAUAUCGCUGAUGGUCUCGUUUACUAAAGGAACUCUGGUGCUCUGAAAUCAGUCCUAACGAGUUCAAAGUUCCUCACAGUAACUUUAAAUACAUGGCUGAUUUUAAUUUACCUCACAGGAUAUAAAGAGACAAAGUCCCACCAUGGGACCUUAUUUCGGAAAAAAUAUGAACCGCGAGAAACAAAUAAUUUAGUUCGAUCCUGUUUUAAUUGCUCCAUGAUUCACACAUAUGAUGUUUGUCAAUUUAAAAGACUUAACUUUGCAAGUCAAGAAAGUCUCAGUUUGUUGUAAAACUGUUGAAGUAUCAGACUGAAAAUACGUCAUUAGAAAGACGAC